rnacentral:rRNA from 1 species
UACGGAGGGUGCAAGCGUUGUCCGGAUUUAUUGGGUUUAAAGGGUGCGUAGGCGGCCCGGUAAGUCAGUGGUGAAAGCCUCCAGCUCAACUGGAGAACUGCCAUUGAUACUGCCGGGCUUGAGUACAGACGAGGUUGGCGGAAUUGAUUGUGUAGCGGUGAAAUGCAUAGAUACAAUCAAGAACUCCGAUUGCGUAGGCAGCUAACUAGGCUGUAACUGACGCUGAGGCACGAAAGCGGUGGGGAGCGAACAGG